AAAAAGAAUAAUAAUAGAUGUUAAUUCAAUGUCUUAUUCUACCAAAAGAACUAAAAGGUAAUUACGUAAAAAAAAAGAAAAAAAAAGUGAAAUAGGCCUUUAGUGUUAGUUUCUGUUGGCGGUUUGAGCAGCCAAUGGCUGGCGCGGUCUGGUUUCGCGUCGGCCAAUGGGGUUGAUUGUCCCGCCCCUUUCAACAGCUGGCGGUUGUUUCGUUCGGAGCGCAGCAGAAAGGCUUGAGAGCUAACAGCUGACGGUUGUUUCGUUCGGAGCGCAGCAGACAGGCUUGAGAGCUAACAGCUGACGGUUGCUUCCGCUCAGAACGCUUGAGAACAGCUGACGGUUGCUUCGCUCAGAACGCCUGAGAGCUAACAGCUGACGGUUGUUUCCUUAAAGAGCUUGAAAGAAAUUGACAAAUCUGGAGAUCUCGGAGAGUUUCCCCUGUAAACAGCUGAACACCGAAAAAUAGCCGUUGACAGCUCGGAGCAUCGGUCAGGUUUUUUGUUUUAGCUUGUUUGAUACACUUUUGGCUUGGAGAGCCAAAGAUUCCAAGACCCUCUUCUCUUGAACCUGGAUGGCGAGCCCCAGCCCAGAGGACCAGGCGCACGGGUAGAUAGUGACCCGACUGGUCACCAGCUGAGAGACUGAGACUGAACAAUUGACUCAUUGGAGACCGAAGUAUUCAAUUUAUUUAUUUAUUUAUUUUUUUUUUAA